rnacentral:rRNA from 1 species
UACGGAGGGUGCAAACGUUGCUCGGAAUCAUUGGGCGUAAAGCGCACGUAGGCGGCCUGAUAAGUCGGGUGUGAAAGCCCUGGGCUCAACCCAGGAAGUGCACUCGAAACUGUCAGGCUUGAAUAUGGAAGAGGGUCGCGGAAUUCCCGGUGUAGAGGUGAAAUUCGUAGAUAUCGGGAGGAACACCGGUGGCGAAGGCGGUUCCCUGGGCCUUACCUAACGCUGGAGGAGCGAAAGCGUGGGGAGCGAACAGG